GGAAUAUUGGACAAUGGGCGCAAGCCUGAUCCAGCCAUGCCGCGUGUGUGAUGAAGGCCUUAGGGUUGUAAAGCACUUUCACCGGAGAAGAUAAUGACGGUAUCCGGAGAAGAAGCCCCGGCUAACUUCGUGCCAGCAGCCGCGGUAAUACGAAGGGGGCUAGCGUUGUUCGGAAUUACUGGGCGUAAAGCGCACGUAGGCGGAUCGAUCAGUCAGGGGUGAAAUCCCAGAGCUCAACUCUGGAACUGCCUUUGAUACUGUCGGUCUAGAGUAUGGAAGAGGUGAGUGGAAUUCCGAGUGUAGAGGUGAAAUUCGUAGAUAUUCGGAGGAACACCAGUGGCGAAGGCGGCUCACUGGUCCAUUACUGACGCUGAGGUGCGAAAGCGUGGGGAGCAAACAGGAUUAGAUACCCGAG
rnacentral:rRNA from 1 species